CAACAGCAUGCUUUCUGAAAAAAGUCAGAUCAGCAACGAUUGUGAGCAGGCAACCUGUCUGUAUUUCCUCUCUCGCCCUUAUGUAUUUACAUACAGAAGUGUAACUUGCUUUCUUAUGUUUUCUUAGGUUAAACAGUUUUUUAUAUCUUCUUGAGUAUAGUAAGUCCGUACUAUUUUUAAGUCCGUGUGCUUUUGGAUCCAUAUGACAGAGCCGAUUUAUAUAUGCGAACAACAUAUGCUGCAAGACACUGGCGGCCGGCUGUUCCCAUCAGAUUUGAACCUUCGUCACGUGCUAUGUGUGGGCGUUGCGUCGGGAUGCUUGGUCCGGUGUGGUCCAUUGCGGUGCGAUGACCAGUGCGAGGUAGUCCAAGUGUGUACGACUGCAGGGCGCAGCCAGCCUAUCGCCAGCUCACUGCCUGCCUGACCUCUAUGUAUUCAUACCCGAUUCAAGCAAAACACUUUUACUACUUUACUCGCCUCCGAUGUUUUUUGAAGGCAGAACAGACAGGAUGCAUGCUUGCAGCCGGAUUCCAUCUGAUCUCAGACAGCACGCUGUUGCCGCGUUCUGCCAUUAUGAGUACAAGGUCGACUGUUGGGUAUGGAGACAUCUCACCGAAAUCAACGCUUGUUCAAAUGCUUUGCAUCAUGUUUAUAGUGGAGCACUGGCGUCAUUUGCUUCUUCUAUACCAGAAAUUCACAAAAUCAUCAGCAAUUUGCAAAAGUUUACGAAACCAUACCUACCGGCGCGGGGCACGCAGCACAUAAUUGUUUCCGGCAACAUUACCAUCGAAACCAUGCGGUCCUUAGUCAAUGACCUUAGUCGGCCAGACCGACGUCAAAGGAAACUGGAUAGAAGUAUAGUCUUCGUUAUGUAAUUCUGGAUAACUAUUGUACCUUAACAGAGAAUAACCGGAUAUCGAAAUGAAAAUUUCUUAAGGAAGUGCAGACAUAUAAUGUGCGCUACGUGGAAGGCAGUCUCCUGCUUGCAGAAUACGAAGGUCCACGAGGCCGAAGCAUACCUCCAUUUAGUCCAUUAGGCAUUAGCCAAUCGACGAUCGGAUGAUCCGGAAAAGAUGAUUCUACGACCUUACUCACAAACCAAGGAUGAUUCAGGGUCAUUUCUCGACGCUGUUUUGCAACCAAUUAUCCCCUUUAUUCCCUUGGGAGCAGCAUUUUUGCUGCUUUAUAUUCUCUAUACUGGAUUAUUCUGGAUUAUUCUAUACUGGAUUAUCUCCUGGUUACAAUAAAUGCGUUCCCGAAAACAGACUGCAACGAGUCUUUGAUAACUGUUAUAACUGUCAAUUCAAAUAUUUCCAAAUAAAAUUUAUGGAUUUUGUGAAACAUAUGGGAUGGUUUUGUCAUUACGGGAAACCAUUUACAGUUUUACACAACUUAUCUGUACGUGUGAUUCAUGACAUUUAAGUGUUUAUGUGUCGGUAAGCCAAAAUAUGAAAGGAAAGAAACAAUUAUAUAUGCAUAAAUAAUUUAAUUUUUUACUAAAAAAAUAUUAUGACCUACUGUACCUAUUAACGAAAGCUAAGCACGAGGUAUAAUACAACUUUCCAAAGCACCUUACAUGGCAACAAUGAGUGCGCCAUAUAACUAGCUACAGAAGUAUAGAAUUAUCUGUAAAGUACUAUACGGUCUCUACAAAGAAUAAGUGCAUUGGUUAUUAUUAUGUUACACUAAAAUCUUCAAAAUUAAUACUGUCCAAUAACAUUGUUGCUAUCAAAGAGGUAUCUACAAUACAAUAUUAUACCAAUUGCGCACAGGCGCAUCACGGACAUACUUACAUCGAUUUUCACGGUGCACAGACAUACAAAGAUGGCAAAAACCGCGCCCGUUUGCACGUCUUGCAUGUAUGUAUGUGCGGGCCAAACCCGACCGCGUGCGCACAACAGCCGUGACGCACAGACUUCAAUACAAAAUUACAAACCUCCGCUGCCUUGUGGUUUCUAAGUUCUGCCAGAGUAUUUUGCCGUAAAUAAUGAUGCAAACGUCUGAUGAGCAGGAAAAAAGGGGUUGCAGUAUCGAUAAUUUGAUAAUUUUAUAACAAUUCAAAAGUGAACGACGUUCUACAAUAACUAUAAGCAGACCUAAAAAUACCUCUGGUAGCCAGAUCAAGCGGGAACCCGCUACGCUGCCACACUUUCAAACACGAGUAACUGUUGUGGUAGAAAAUACAGAACGAAAAUCACAUCACCUCA